GUUGCCUUAGAUCUGUGAAAGCCUUGGGGACACUUGAGAUGAGGGAGAGUAGCUUUUAAAAAUAAUUUUGAAAAACUACCACAGGAACACCAUCACAUUACUUAGAAGAAAGAGGCAUUUGUAUUUGAUCUCUCCUCACUUACCGUUUAUGGGAACACAAGCGGCUAUGUAACAGCCAUAAAUAAAGGCCAGGAAUUCCCCAGUUCAAAUCUUGGCUCAACCACUGACCUACUAAUUGAGUGUAGUGCAAGACACACACACACUCCAAGACUUAGCUCACACCUUACGCCUAUCCUGCACGUGGCAAGAAUUACAGAGGGAAACAGCUUGGCAACAGAGUACACAGGCUGAAUGACAGUUUGGAAAGUCAACUUUCAAAGGUAAGAUGAACCUUUCUUGGAAUAGGCACAGCAAAUAGAAAUUGAGUUAUGUGUGUAUGAUUUGUGUUUGAAGUGUAAUGGGCUUGACACGCCACAUGAAACUUGUGCUAAUUUAAGCCACUGCGAUUUUCUAAGAGAUUGCAAGCA